GACGAACGCUGGCGGCGUGCUUAACACAUGCAAGUCGAACGCUGAAGACCUGGCUUUUGUUGGGUUGGAUGAGUGGCGAACGGGUGAGUAACACGUGAGUAACCUGCCCUCUUCUUUGGGAUAACGCCCGGAAACGGGUGCUAAUACUGGAUAUUCACUGGCCUUCGCAUGGGGGUUGGUGGAAAGGUUUGUUCUGGUGGGGGAUGGGCUCGCGGCCUAUCAGCUUGUUGGUGGGGUGAUGGCCUACCAAGGCUUUGACGGGUAGCCGGCCUGAGAGGGUGACCGGUCACAUUGGGACUGAGAUACGGCCCAGACUCCUACGGGAGGCAGCAGUGGGGAAUAUUGCACAAUGGGCGAAAGCCUGAUGCAGCGACGCCGCGUGAGGGAUGGAGGCCUGCGGGUUGUAAACCUCUUUCGCUCAUGGUCAAGCCGCAACUGUGGGUUGUGGUGAGGGUAGUGGGUAAAGAAGCGCCGGCUAACUACGUG
rnacentral:rRNA from 1 species